rnacentral:lncRNA from 10 species
CUGGUUUCUGUUGUAGGGGUUUUAUAUCUGUUUCUGUAUAUAUGUAUAAAAGUAUAUAUUGAUAUAAUCCAAAAUGACUUCCUUCACAAUAGUAAGCUUUAGAACUACUGUAUAGAAAUUUUAUUUAUUUAAUUAGCUUAUAUAUACUGAAUAUGAUUAACGAAGCAAACAAAACAGAAAAAAACAACUACUGUGGAUUAGAAAUUUCUUAUUAAAGUUAGAGUCACUAAUAGACUCCCAUGAGUACAAUUAAAUGUAAAAGAAGUCAGUUGUACAUAUAUAUAUAUAGCCAAAGUGGUAGCUGAUAGGCGAAGACUGGUUAGGAAAAUAAUGAAAGCUGGUUCUUUCAGAAAUGCCACAGUAAGUAGCAUGCAUAUUUCCCUACCAAUCUCCUACAGAGUUAGCAGAUUAUGUGGGACGAAAUAUAUCUUCUGUAUUCCUAGCUGAAAAUUAAUGGAAAAAUAAAUCUGUAAUCAUCACAUAUUAACUUUAAAAAGCAAAUAGUCUUAGUGCUAUGCUAAAUGAAUGUUAGUAUACAGAAUUCAAAUUUAAUGUAUUUUCAAAAUUAGCCUGUCUGUAGUUUUCUACAUAAAAAAUAUUAACAGAAAUGACAUAAAUCAUCAAAUGAUCUUGGUUUUAAUUAAUUUCAAUGAUUCUCUAUAAACAUAUGAUUAUAAAUGCACUGAACCAUCAUUAUAAAAUAAUUUCUAUACCAUGAAGUACCAUGAGGGUUAAGGAUUAAAUAAUAGCCCCAUUAACUGUAUUAAGAUUUAAUAUCUGUAAUUCUCACUUUUGGUCUAUCUAUCAUCUAUCUUCUUGUUAUUUUCUCAGUUCUUUCAAAUAAGACUUUUGUUAUGAAUCAACUAAAAUUCAACUGAAUAAUCACAUCACAUGCAAUUAUGUUUUAUAUAUAACAUAAUAACAUUUUAAUAUUAAUUUGUUUGUAGCUAAAUAAAACACUUAUUUAUUGUCUGUAUCAAUAAGUAUGUUACAAGCUAGGGUUCAAGAAAAAACUUAAGCAUUUCUUUUUAAAAAAAUGUGUGAAUAUGAAGUUAGGUUUUCUCAAUCCCAGAGAAAACAAUGGGAGGAUUCCUUAAGAAAAAUUGUACUUAUAUUAUUAAUCUGACUCAAACAAUGUAAGCAUGAAUAUGUAAUCUAUAAAAGGGUAGCACUGAGUAGUUUUCAUGAAUUUGAACUCCUAACAAAAUCACCCCUAAAAUUCAUAACGCAAAAAAAAAAAAAAAGAUCAAUUCUAAGUCCUCAGCAUAACCUGCUGCCAGUAUUUGAAACAGCUGAUCACUUUAUCCUUCUAGAAAAACUGCUUUUUCCUUGAUUUUGGGGACGAUUUUGGGGACAUUUCCUUUUCAGAUUUUUAACUUACUACCCUGGUAGAUACUUGUCAGAAUUCUUUGAUGGAUCCUGUUAAUUUUCCCAACUGUUAAAUAUCGUUGAUUCCGUGGACACAGUACUUGCUCCCCUAUUCCCUACCAAAGUUCUCACUGACUUCCUUUUAAAGUACCCUGGAAACUGACAGAUUGGUAGCUUCAACCAGAAAAUUCAGGCACAUAUUUACCACAUUCUUAUGAUUUCUUUUUUUCCUGGAUCCACAAAGAUUGAAACUCGCCACAUGGGGGCACAUUCGUUCACCAUAACUGUGACUAAAAUUGGUGACAUUUUAAUUUGCAGGCAAUUACCUCUACAAACACCUCCCUUCAUUAGAAAUAAAAAUUGAGAUGUUCAAAGCAUCUUACAGGUCAAAGAGCUAAGCCAGAUCCUCACUCAAGCACUCAAGAGUUUUUUUUUUUUUUUUUUCCCGAGAAAAACUCUGGAGGAACAAACAACUUUGAACAUUUUCCCACUGAAGUCCUGGCGUUUUGGCGCUGACAGCGUUAACUUCUACACGGAAGCUGCCCCUCCGCCCUCCAGAAGGAAAGAGGACCCGUAUGGGAGCCGCAGAGAAGCACCUAGAACCCUGGGGCCUGAGGGCCGGCUGGAGGCAACACAGGGCUGGUAAGAACGAAUAUGACCUCGUGUUAAACUGGAAACGAGAAGGAGGGCAGAAUAUGGGUAGACAAGUCAGAACAGCUGCUCCCAUAGCCGCCAGAAGCCGUAGACUCUUCUGAACUGUGGGACCCAAGACUGCCGGGUACGCAGCGGGCACAGGACGGCAGGGGCACCUGCGCUGCCGCCUACCGCCCUGGAGGGCGCUUCAGGCCCAGAUCCCAGGGCAGCAGAGGGUGCGACAAGGCGUCCCAGCAGCCGCGGCCCUGCAGAUCCUUGGGGCACCUAGCCGGCAUCCCCUCCCCUGACCCGACGCCUUCUCUUUGUCCUGAAGGAUGGACUGCAAAGCUAUGUCCGGCGGUGUGGACGAAACUCAGUAAAAGGGGUUUCGGCAAGGGGAGACUCACCCGCCAUCUCCGUAGGAAGGUGGCUGGGGCUGUGUCCGCGCAGCCCAGUCCCGGCCUCCUCCUCCUCCCAGAGGGCUUCCAGGUCUGACCGAGGGUCGCUGGGACUCGAGAACUGGAGGCUCUGACUGGAACACUCCUGGGCGCACUCUGGCUCAGCCUGGACCCGGGCAGGCCCGUUUUCACCGGGGUGUCUACACUAGGGUCUCCCAAGGCAGCGAGGCGUCCGGGCGGGCGCCAGGGUGGCAGGGCCGAGUCUCCGGAGGUGGCCGCUCUGAAGGCCGAAUCUGGCCAGAAAAUCUGGCCAGAAAAAGGGACCACUGCGUCCUUGCGGCCUCCUUUCCACGUUAACCGGGGGCAGAGAACACCCAGGCCCUGCUGUGGGUGCCUAACGCGCUGGGGCGCAUAGGCCAAGCCAGUCCAACCAGGGUGUCCAGUCAGGGGCGCGCUGAGGCAGAAGGCUUUAGAGAUCGAGGGACAUGGGGGACCCCUGACGCCAGGUCUCCUUCUCGCUUCCGGGUCCGCACUCUGGGUCCGCAGUCCCUCAACCCACCAGGAGGCCAGAGAUGCGGCUGCGGUGGAUCCAGGGAGCUGGGGCCCAGAUCCACCAAGAUCAGGGAAGGUUCCUGAGGGCCCGCUGUCCCUCAGGGCCUGAAGAAAAUCCAUUCUCCGCGUGCUUGCGUUGGAGAACACAGUGGCCCCCACCGCCCGCCCUGAGACCUCCACAGGGUCCUGAUCCAGAACUUGACGACCGGACGCCAUCUCAUCUCUCCCCACAGAACCCCUGUCAGCCUGCCGGGGGACGCGGUGCCCGCCCUCCGGCAUCCGGGAAACACAGCGUCCCAGCCGGCGCCUGCGCAGGUGCCACACUUCCUGGUCCUCUCUGGCUGCGUCUGAGGGCCUUAGCUCUGGCCAGGGGCGCUGCAACGGGCUCAGCCUUCUAGGGGUGGCGGGUGAAGGCCUACACCUGCCCCAGGACGGCCAGGUCCACCAGCACCUGCAACAGACGGAGAACUGAAGGAGCAUCUUGAAGCUGUGGCUGUCUUGAAGGUGUCGCCGCUUGUCCUCACGAGCACCAUUUUGAUUCUCGUGCCCUGUGUGCAUGGGUGGCCAGCGUUGCUGGUAGGGCUCCUGCACGCUCAGAGUGGCCUUGGCCAGGAAGUCCAGGGUUUCCGCAGGCAGAGUGUAUGAACAAGGUACUGAGAAGAUCACAUACUGCAUGUCCUCCUAAAACCUGGUCCUGGCAUAACCUUCUAAGCUGUUUUAUUCAGGUGUUUAUGGAUUUUGUAUUUGCCCAUGUUUAAUGAGCUUUACAACACUUCCAUCAGAGAACGAGAAGGAUACGGUGUCCUCACAAAGCAGAGAU